AAUCCGUGAUUUGGGCAUUUUCUCAAUAAGGAUUUAUAUCUCUCCCAAGCUUCACAGAGAGGUUCAUUAGUGCCUUGAGAGAAAGUUGCAAUUGUUGAUUUGACACU
rfam:Cajanus cajan Scaffold000141_17, whole genome shotgun sequence.